CGUACAUCGUCGCCACCACCACCGUGAUGGCGGAGCUACCUCAGCCUGACAUGUCGCACCUCACCGCCGAGGAGAGGCGCAUCAUAGAGGGUGUUUUAAUGCGCCAAAAGGAGGAGGAGGAACAGGAUCAUGAGAUUAUGAGACGAAAGCAAGAUGAGGUGCAGGUCCUCGAGGAAACGAUACGGAUGCGUUCGGAGAAACAGAAAAAGGCCGGGGUUGAGCUGAACGCCACGUGUCACAUAUGCCUGAAAACCAAGUUUGCCGACGGCGUCGGCCACAUCUGCAACUACUGCGACAUCCGAUGCUGCGCACGCUGCGGCGGAAAGGUCACUUUACGGUCAAGCAAGGUGAUAUGGGUGUGCAUACUUUGCCGGAAGAAGCAGGAACUUCUCUCGAAGACUGGACAAUGGAUGUCGAAGACAGGCGCCGUGGACAGCGCGUUGCUGCGGCAAAUGCAGGAGGACUUGCAGGUGGGUGGUCGUCAGGGACUCGCGGACCAAACUCGGGAUAAAAGACCGAAACUCGAGAGGGCGCACAGCGCGGCUGAGAAAGAGAAUUUGCCGUUAUUACAGAGAAGCGGAAACUGUCCUCUCAGGAGACAGUACUCCCAGCAAGAGCAGAUCUCGGGUCGCCGGAUGUCCACGAGCGACAGUGGGGUGGAAAUGUCCGUUUCGCCUCACGCGAGAACUUUACCAACCCCCCACGUGGUUGGUUCUUACCCGGUGCAACAAACUCCGAGGCAUCCUGCAGUCUAUCCUGACGACGAUCCCAAUUUAUACCGAGGCGAGCUCGACGGUCUGAUGAGACAACAUCCGCAGAACUAUCAGAGGCAACGGUCGACUUAUCAAGAUCAAGGUACAGAUCUUGGAAUGACUUAUGGUCAGACACCGAUGGAGACUGGCUCCGUUCGUACUGCAGUGCAUCCCUCUCAGCAGCAUUCGUUACAUCAGACGCAGGGCGGACGUCCCACUCAACCUGCAUCAACAGUGGGCGUCCCGCAACAAAGAAGUUUCAGUAGCAGUGAGGAAGAGCGAAGCACACCGGAGUGCGCCAGCGACGAGCCGGACGAAUCGGAGAAGGGGAAGGGGUACUACCACCACGCGGGAGGUCCGAAAUCGAUGUCCAGUGGUGGGCGUAGGCACAACGGAUCCCACAAUGGGCACCACGGGUCGGACGCGGGCAUGACGGCCGUGGAGCAUAACGGCCACCAUCCACCGCGAGAGCCGCGAAAAGAAGAGAGCACUCUCGUCAGACGGAGCUUCCGAAGAUGCGGCGACGAGUGGCGCGCCGACAGUAGGAGGUUCACGGAGAGAAGGGGGAAAAAGACAGUGCGUUUUGACGGUGGGACCAAUGUCGGCGGCCCUCAGGAGGAGGAAUGGUCUUGGGAGGCCGAUCGGCAGGGUAGCCAAGACAGCGCGACCAAAGACUCCGGGAUAGACACUUCUAGCACCUUCACGAGCAGUGAAGACAGCAACAGGGGCGAUCUGCCCAAGCAUCCAUUAUCCUGGCAAGUGAGCGAGGACGGUCAGAAGAUUAUCGGCCACAUGGUUUUGCGAAAAUCGGCCGGCUCCGGAAGCUGUAGUAGUAUACUCGGACUAAAAGUUGUCGGUGGCAAACUAUUGGAAGAUGGUUCCAUGGGCGCUUUGAUCGAGAAGGUGAAAAAGGGUAGCACGGCGGACAUAGAAGGUCAACUUAGACCUGGUGACGAGGUAAUCGCGUGGAAUGGGAGGUUCCUUCAAGGCAAGAGCUUCCGGGAGGUUUACGACAUCAUCGCCGAGUCGAGGCUGGAGCCGCAGAUUGAGCUCGUAGUUGAAAGAAAGAUGUCGUCGAUAACAACGGGGAUGGCGCCUGCAGGACCGGGCCCAUCGACACCCAUGGCAUCUAGAAGAAUCGCUGCUCAGAGCCAAUGGAGACAGAAACACGAGACCAUCUCUGGGCCUCCGACGCCUCACCACAAAGGUCUUAAGAAAUGUUUACUAUGGGAAUUGUACGACGCGAGGCGUGAGAAACCCUCGGUUUUAGUGACGUCGCCGGGCUCGCCGGACCUGCACGCCCAAGGACGCGGUCGACACUCCCGACAUCCGACCGGAAAUGCGAACGUGGGCGGUAGUAUCCAGGUGAAGCUGGGCUUCGAUCCUGUGGGACUUCAGCUGAUCGUCACGAUAAUUUGCGCCGCGGGGCUCACGCCAAAGAGCAACGGCCAACCUAGAAACCCUUACGCCAAAGUUUUUCUGUUUCCUGACAAAAGCGAAAAAUCGAAACGACGUACGAAGACUGUGGCGAACACGAACGACCCUAGAUGGAAUCAGAUUUUCGUUUAUAAUGGAGUCAGACGUUCGGAGCUGAGGAAGAGGGCACUGGAGAUUACGGUCUGGGACUACGCUAGGUACGAGGCGAAUGAUUUCCUCGGCGAGGCUGUCCUGGAAUUGGCAGUAUGUCUCCUGAACGAGGAACCAGAAUGGCAUUCUCUGACCGCUCACGGAGAACACCGGCACGUCAGGCACUACCAAGAUUCUGAUGACAUGAUAGAUUGUCAUCUUAGUCCACCGUCGACCACGUCGAGAUUAAGUGACUCCGACACUUCGGAGUGCGACAUUACGGAUUGCGACGUGUCGAGAGAACAAAGAAGAACGGCUGACGGUGCCAGCAUAAGCAGUAUCGGCAGUUCCUCUAGGUUUCAUAAUAUGCCGUCAAAUUAUAAGCGCCACUAUUCUAGCCCGCCGCCGGAGAGGGAACUCUGCGUCGAUGGCGAACAUCGGAGUCGAAGAGAUAUGUCGCCUCAGGGACGUAAAAGGGCAGCCCUAAUGAUUUCUCGUGACCAACAACCUGCUUCUAUCUCGAGUUAUCAGGCAUAUCGUAAGGACGAGUUCCAUCGGGGAAUGAUGGGUCACAGGUCGCACAGCGCGGCACCUAUGGACUCUUCGAGUGUCAGAUACCGAGGAAGAUCUCAGAGUCCCACCGGUCAUCGUUCCUUGUCUCCACCCGAGCAUAGAUCCAUUCCCUACUCGCAUGGAUAUGUUCAUACGACAAGAUUCGGUUCGAGAUCGGCGACUGCCACACCUACUGGAUCGCCGAAGAAACGUCAGUUACCUCAAAUCCCAGCAGCUUUGAAGGAAAGAGUCGCGCAAGAUUUUGACGAACGAGCAAUACGAUUCGUAAGACAUCGCAACAGACAGUUGAUAUACAGGGGCAUGGGUAUGGGAGGCUGGGAAAGGCACAUCAGCGGUCUUUCGGACUCGGAUCUUCCUUCAAUGGGACACGAUCCUCUAACAUUGCCACACAGUCAUCACUCUCACAGAUUGCACAGGCCGAGGACGGGGCACUUAAGUCCCGACAAAGAUAUACUCGAUCUUGGAGAUUCUGACAUGGAGAGCAUAGCUUCGGUAACGAGCAGUGCCUUUAGUACGCAAUCGGAACGACCACGUGGAUCGAGAUUAAUCGAGUACACCACCAGUCAGUCGAGCUCGUACGAGAAGACGUCCAGACGCCAGGUCACCGACAACGGGCACGACGAGCGUGACAAGAGAAGUCAGUUCACCAGGAGUCUCAGUAACGCUGAUGUGCCGCAGGACGAGAAAGACACGGGUAGUUUCAGCGAUACCGCGAUUGCGUUGAACGUUGAAGACGCAGCGAGGAGAGGCCGUAAAAGCUCGCCGGGAAGUAAAAGCGGAAGCGGCAGCAGUAGCGGAAGCGCGGUGCAGUAUCAGGCGGGUCUGGGCAAGAAGAGCAAUAGCACCAGCCAAUUAUCCGCGACAGAAUGCAGCGGGAUGUUCAUCGGCACCAGUGGAAGCGCCGGCGCCGUGGCACGCAAUGCCGGCUUAGCGAGCCGGAAGCGUAACAGCACACCGAGCAGCAUACAACGAUCCGAGGAGAUAGUGCCGGUCUAUCAGCGCUUUGACAGCAAACUGGCAGGAUCCGCAGCCAGCGAUACGGCCGGAAGUCUCAACUCGAUCUCUAGUUCCGAAGGAAGCUCUUGGUCUCCCAGUUUACGAAUGGCAGGCGAGGGGCAGUUGAGAGACUUCAUCGAAGAUCUUGGACCGGGCCAAAUGGUCGGAAGGCAAGCACUCGGGGCCCGUUGCCUCGGUGAGAUUCAGCUGUCGUUCAGGCAAAUUCAGAAGGGAUACCUUGAAGUGGAGGUCGUACGUGCCAAAGACCUUAAAACGAAACAAGGCAGCAAAGUAAUACCAGCUCCUUACGUGAAGCUAUAUCUGGUGAACGGUAAAAAGUGUAUAGAGAAAGCGAAAACCACGAUGGCACAUAGAAAAACAUUAGAUCCACUCUAUCAGCAAGUAUUGGCGUUUAAAGAAAACUGGCGGGGUUGUAUAUUACAGGUGACAGUAUGGGGUGACUAUGGUCGGAUAGAGGGGAAAAAAGUGUUCAUGGGUAUUGCACAGAUCGUAUUAGAUGAGCUGGACCUCAGUCAGGAGUUGAUCGGAUGGUACAAGCUGUUUGACACUCAAGCCAUGGUCAGUGGAGCUCCAUCUCUUGCUUUGUCCCGUCGAUCUUCGGUCACGUCUCUCGAUUCUUUUAAGAUCUAAAAGAAUGACUGCUCGAAGAACGUACCGAAAUAUUUCUUUUAUAUAUAUUUACUGAAGAGAUCUUUGAGUUUCUUGCAGUAGACAAAGUAGAGCAGACACAACUGAGUUCGAGCUCCUAUCGCGGUGCACUUAGUUGCUUUUAUCAUUAACAAAAUACCGUAAUGCACGAGUCUCGAUGUACAAGAUAGUAUUACAUUUACUUUAACUGAUUAAACAAUUAAAAAGUGUGUGGAAAUUGUUAUAAACGUCUUUAAUAACUUAAGUGACACGCAUAAAGUCAUCGCUUGAUGAUGUUAUAUGUAGUAUCAAAUAAAUAUGUUAGGGGAUAGAGAGUUCGGAUUACACCGCUACAUCCACCGUAUAAAAGUUGAGAGAAGUAUAUAAACAAUUCUCUAUCAUGUAAUAUUACAUAUUCUUCACUACGGUUGACAGAAUUGAAAAGAAUCUUAACACACCCGACGCGUAUUCCCCGUAGGCUAUUAAUGUCGAAGCCUAAAGCUACUUAACGAGUGACGUUUGGCUCUGAAUACGGUAAAAUCAGUUUAACGAGGGGUACAUAGUAUGAGAAAUGCGAUUGUAUGGAUAAUUGAAAAUUCUGCGGGACCGGAAUGAAAACAAGAGAUAUAAACAAGGCGAUGCGAGAUUUUGCAAAAGAAUGAAAGAACGUGCGAAAGGAUAUGUCUUUCUAGAAACACCACUAGUACAUCACAUAUCAUGUACGGCAUAUCAGACGAACCACUAGUCUGUAUGUAGACUAGAUGUAGACGUAGCAGCCAUGUUCCCGGAGCGCCAGAUAGUUUUAGUGAAACAAACUAAAUCAAGCAAGUUCGGGAUAGAUGUGAACUCAAAUGUGGUGUACUAGAUAAAUAAGAUGUGGAACGAUCAAUGACACUCGUUUUCAGUGAAUCUAAAUGUGGUUAAGUGAGUAAGGAAUUCAUGAACAUAGUGAGAAAUAUGAAGCGACAAACGGUCACGGACUUCAUUUAAACGGCACGCGAGAGAGAUUAAAAAUGUUGAGACAUUUUCAAAAUGAGAAGACAUUUCCAAACUUUGUAUAUAAUUUAGGACAGUUCAAGUACUAAAUGUCGAUCUCCGAAACGAUCGGCUAAAAGACAUUUAUCGUUGUCAAAUUUUUAGUCAAAAAUGUCACCGUCAGAGCAUGUAUUAUUUAAUGUAAAUAUUAUAAUAACACUAUGAUAUGAGAAUUUGCGAUAUGUGCGCGCUGGUUUGAAUGGGUAAUGAUGUUUACUUUAUAUUCUCGUUGAUUUACGAUUUCUACGAUGAUCGUCGUUAUAGUUUCGGCAUUUUCCAUUAAUUUAUAGAUUUGAUUUAAUUUAACAUUUUCUAAGUAAUUAGCAUCGGAAUAAUUAGAAUGUACGAUGAUAUAAUUAAUUAUACAGUUUGUUCCCUGAA